UUUCUAUUGUGUCCAAU
rnacentral:sRNA from 1 species